rnacentral:rRNA from 1 species
GGUUUACCUGUGUGACUGCGUACCUUUUGUAUAAUGGGUCAGCGACUUAUAUUCUGUAGCAAGGUUAACCGUAUAGGGGAGCCGGAGGGAAACCGAGUCUUAAUUGGGCGUUAAGUUGCAGGGUAUAGACCCGAAACCCGGUGAUCUAGCCAUGGGCAGGUUGAAGGUUGGGUAACACUAACUGGAGGACCGAACCGACUAAUGUUGAAAAAUUAGCGGAUGACCUGUGGCUGGGGGUGAAAGGCCAAUCAAACCGGGAGAUAGCUGGUUCUCCCCGAAAGCUAUUUAGGUAGCGCCUCGUGAAUUCAUCUCCGGGGGUAGAGCACUGUUUCGGCUAGGGGGCCAUCCCGGCUUACCAACCCGAUGCAAACUGCGAAUACCGGAGAAUGUUAUCACGGGAGACACACGGCGGGUGCUAACGUCCGUCGUGAAGAGGGAAACAACCCAGACCGCCAGCUAAGGUCCCAAAGUCAUGGUUAAGUGGGAAACGAUGUGGGAAGGCCCAGACAGCCAGGAUGUUGGCUUAGAAGCAGCCAUCAUUUAAAGAAAGCGUAAUAGCUCACUGGUCGAGUCGGCCUGCGCGGAAGAUGUAACGGGGCUAAACCAUGCACCGAAGCUGCGGCAGCGAACGUAUCACCCAAGACAACUUUGCGGAGUUGACGAUUGACGGAGCGAAGCGACGUCAAAGCGUUCAUUAAAGUCGAGUUGGCUUAGGGAUACGUUCGUUGGGUAGGGGAGCGUUCUGUAAGCCAGUGAAGGUGUGUCGUGAGGC